GAUGUGGUGGAGCCCUACUCGAGCUCAUUAGUCGAUGGAUCCCUAGAGAAGAAUGCUCAGAUACCAAAUGAAAACGGUGGGAGUAAGAAGCUCAUGAAUUUUCAACUGAGCGUUAGCACAUGAAGAGUACACAUUGAAGGCCUUGAAAGAGAAGGAAAAGGAGCAAAGGAGUUAAGAGUCAGAGCCGACAAGUGAGGUCCUUUUCUUCUGUUCGACUGAACUGAAGUUGUGUUUUAGAUGAUGCAGAGCAUCUUGUAGCUAUUUUUUUACAUCUCUCAGUUUUCUCUUUUUGAUUUAUUUGUUUAUAAUGUUGGCGAAAGACCUAUUUGAGUUGUGAUCCUCGUUGAUCUUGAAAUGCAAAUAUAAAAGUUACAUUA